UACGGGGGGAGCAAGCGUUGUUCGGAUUUACUGGGCGUAAAGGGCGCGUAGGCGGUCGUGACAAGUCACUUGUGAAAUCUCCGGGCUUAACUCGGAACGGUCAAGUGAUACUGUCGGACUAGAGUACAGAAGGGGCAACUGGAAUUCUCGGUGUAGCGGUGAAAUGCGCAGAUAUCAGGAGGAACACCAGUGGCGAAGGCGGCUCACUGGCCCGGUACUGACGCUGAGGCGCGAAAGCGUGGGGAGCAAACAGG
rnacentral:rRNA from 1 species